rnacentral:rRNA from 1 species
GGUUAAGUUAGAAAGGGCGCACGGUGGAUGCCUUGACACUAGGAGUCGAUGAAGGACGGGACUAACACCGAUAUGCUUCGGGGAGCUGUAAGUAAGCUUUGAUCCGGAGAUUUCCGAAUGGGGAAACCCACCAUACGUAAUGGUAUGGUAUCCUUAUCUGAAUACAUAGGGUAAGGAGGACAGACCCAGGGAACUGAAACAUCUAAGUACCUGGAGGAAGAGAAAGCAAAUGCGAUUUCCUGAGUAGCGGCGAGCGAAACGGAACAUAGCCCAAACCAAGAG